UACGUAGGGCGCAAGCGUUAUCCGGAAUUAUUGGGCGUAAAGAGCUCGUAGGCGGUCUGUCGCGUCGGGAGUGAAAACUCAGGGCUUAACCCUGAGCCUGCUUCCGAUACGGGCAGACUAGAGGUAUGCAGGGGAGAACGGAAUUCCUGGUGUAGCGGUGAAAUGCGCAGAUAUCAGGAGGAACACCGGUGGCGAAGGCGGUUCUCUGGGCAUUACCUGACGCUGAGGAGCGAAAGUGUGGGGAGCGAACAGG
rnacentral:rRNA from 1 species